rnacentral:lncRNA from 1 species
AGGCUCAGUGUAAUGUGCAAAUUCAUUUAGAAAUGUGUCUCUGUCAUGUGAAGAUGUAUGGAAUCCUUAAAUGGACUGAACAGUCACCAUGGAAAAUGAAUAUCUGUCUGAGUUAUUUUUGCCUAUGUGAGGAGUACAAGAGCUGACUCAAAGAGGAUGCCAUGCUGGUUCCUGUCCUGAAGUCAAACAAGACAGACUGUGCUGGAAAAGCCAUGUGCUCAUGCCUGUGUUUGCUCACACCGUAGAUGUCUUCAACCACCCCCAUAAGAGGGCAUCAGAUCUCAUUACAGAUGGUUGUGAGCCACCUAUUAAAGAUUUUUCUUUGAUCUUCCUAGCCUUUGAAUGAUGUAGAUUGUUCUACCUUCUCCCAUUAAAUAAAUUAGUAUCAAUCUAAAAUGCAAGGUUUUGCUGUUAAGGUAUUUGACUGUGUCUGUUUGUUUGUGGUAUUUGCUCCCUUCAUUUGGAUUGGACCUAGAGCCUCAUACAAGGUAGACAAGUGCUCUACUGAGCUAUAUCCACAACCUUUUUAUUUUUAAAUACUUUUAUUCUUUAAGUUAAAGUGUAGUUAUCAAUUCCCGCAUUGCUUUUCCUCACUUCAAGCCUUUGAAUGUACCCGUCUUACUCUCAAAUUCAUGCCCAUUGUUUUUUUUCAAUUGUUGUUGUUGUGUAUAUAUUUCUUAAUAUAUAAACAUACCUGAUUGCUCCGUAUAAUGUUGCUUAUAUGUGUAUGAUUUCAGGGCUGACCACUGGGUAUAAGGUAACCAAUUGGUGCUCUCUUCCCUGAGAUUCUCUCUAGUCUAUAUGCCCCUACUCUCAGCAUUCCUUAGUUGCUUUUUAAAAAGAUUUGUGUGUCUACAUAACUAAGUAGGAAUCUGAAGGCGUGCAUGCAGUAAGCUGGUUUUUAUGUUAGUUUGGAUAAAGUCCGUGUAUUUCCCAUCUAUUGGGUGAGCCUAGAUAUGAACUGAGCACAGAGGUAUGAUAUGUACAACCCAAUGCUUUAAAUUUUUAAAUAUAAUUGGCCAGAUCACUGUUUCCUGUGCACUAGAUAGAAAAAUGGAUCAAGUAAACACUGAACGGGAAGAGGGAAAGAUAUGUAUGUAAUCAUCAGAAUGCUUGAAGUCUUUGCAUAGUUUAUGCCAACAUCUGUUUCACUCUAAUGGAGAUAUGAGUGAAACGAGAAACUAUUUUUCAAAUGACUAUUGCUGGAGUCGCACAGAUCAAAUUAUCUUCAAUUAAGAAAAAAAUGUGUGUGUGCAUGUGUGAGUUUGUGUAUGUGCACAGGUAAGUAUAUAUAUAUAUAUCCAAGAAGGUAUUGGAUUUCCCAGAGUUAGAGUUAGAGCCCUACAUUGGUGUUGAGAACCAAAGCAGUCCCCAGGAAGAGCAGGAAAUGCUCUUUAAUUACUGAACCAUCUCACCAGCCUCCUCAAACUCUUUCUUUUGAGACACGAUGAUAUUAUCUAGGCUGGCACAACCUUGUGAUCCUCAUGCCUCAUUACCCUUCAAUGCCCACAUGCCUAACUUCAUCCUCAGUAACUAGAGGUAUAGGUAUGUGCCACCACAUACAGAUUGUUUAUCUUUGUCUUUUUGUUUUGUUUUGUUUUGUCUUUGUUAGUUUUUCUUGUGUAUAAACAUUUUGUAAUACUACGGAUUGAACCUAGGACCUAUUUAUGUCUUAGACAACUUCUUUAUUACUAAGAAGAGAGGUGUUUAUUUUGAGACAAGGUCUUCAAUAAGUUACCCAAGCUGCCCUUGCAAUUAGUCCAUAUCCUAUGCAGGCCUUGAAUUUGCCAUCUUUCUGCCUCAGCCUCCUCAAGACCUGAUUAGAGGCCAGGACCACCAAGUUGGCUUUAUUUAUCUUAUAACAUCAUAUCAUAUGCCUUACAGCUAACCAGAUAUGAAAGCAAUGUAAAGUGUUUACAUUCCAAAUUCCAAUGCUGUGGUCAAGUCUGUAGAAGAUAAAGUGCAUCAGGAUAUGGACUGACUGACUACUUACUGGGGCAUCUUAUGCUUAUGAAGGUGGACUGUUACUGUUUGGCAUCUCAGGAUGCUGAACUUAAUGUGUGCUUGUGCCUUGGGUUUUUUUUCUCCAAAUGUGAAAACAUAAUUACAGAAUCUUGUACAGCUCUGUGUAAAUCACUUGUGUGGUAGGCACACGGCCCCAGAUUCCAUCUGCUGUGGGAGGGAGGAAAAACAAAAGUAUUCCUGAAAACAGAUCCAUUUGAUUGGUUUUUUGUUUGUUUGUUUAAAUAUUUUUUAUUACAUAUUUUCUUCAAUUACAUUUCCAAUGCUAUCCCAAAAGUCCCCCAUACCCUCCCCCCCACUUCCCUACCCACUCAUUCCCAUUUUUUUUGGCCCUGGCGUUCCCCUGUGCUGGGGCAUAUACAGUUUGCGUGUCCAAUGGGCCUCUCUUUCCACUGAUGGCCGACUAGGCCAUCUUUUGAUACAUAUGCAGCUAGAGUCAAGAGCUCUGGGGUACUGGUUAGUUCAUAUUGUUGUUCCACCUAUAGGGUUGCAGAUCUCUUUAGCAACUUGGGUACUUUCUCUAGCUCCUCCAUUGGGGGCCCUGUGAUCCAUUUGAUUGUUAAAACCAACUCGUGUGCAACAGGAAGUUUGGAUAGCUAAUGCUGCUACUUCUAGGAUGCAUCAUUGAAAUGUUCCAAUCUGGUUCAAAAAUUACAAUAGCAUUACUAUACUAUGGUGUUUUAUACUGGCACCUGUUUUAUAUGUUAGAUCUCUGUUCAUGAAUAUUUCACUCACUGUGUGUGCUAUUUUUUAAAUUAGAAAACAGGUAAUAUCUUAUUUCUUGAAAGGAAAUUAGAUCAUUCUAUUGAGGUGCGUCAUUAAGUAGGAGCGGCCUCUAAGGUACCUGUGAGACAUGGGAAGAAUAGACAGCAGUGGGUGUGGUAGGGAGUAUGAUGUUUGACCGAAAGUUGGAAGCGGUCUGAAAAAUAUGCUCUAGAUUUGGAUUCUAGCUACACAUCUCCUGUGACGUUAAUGGGUGUGCCUCUGAUUUUUUUUUUCUUUCCACCCUCAGGGGUGUGUGUGAACCUUAUUGUUUUGAUUGUAAGAUCUAAAAGGCAAUUUGCACGAGUUUUCCAUUGGCUUUGCAUUCACCCUGAUGUAUUGAGACUGGAAUAUGAAACUCGUUUUCAUUCUGUUGCCUGCUAGU